rfam:Parcubacteria bacterium GW2011_GWF2_39_8b TT65_C0019, whole genome shotgun sequence.
GUGGUCGUAGCUCAAUUGGUAGAGCAUCCGCCUGUGGCGCGGAAGGUUGCCGGAUCGUCACCGGUCGACCACC